ensembl:lncRNA
GUAGGGGCGGCAGGUAGCCUAGUGGUUAGAGAGUAGGGGCGGCAGGUAGCCUAGUGGUUAGAGAGUAGGGGCGGCAGGGUAGCCUAGUGGUUAGAGUGUAGGGGCGGCAGGUAGCCUAGUGGUUAGAGUGUAGGGGCGGCAGGUAGCCUAGUGGUUAGAGUGUAGGGGCGGCAGGUAGCCUAGUGGUUAGAGAGUAGGGGCGGCAGGUAGCCUAGUGGUUAGAGUGUAGGGGCGGCAGGUAGCCUAGUGGUUAGAGAGUAGGGGCGGCAGGUAGCCUAGUGGUUAGAGUGUAGGGGCGGCAGGUAGCCUGGUGGUUAGAGAGUAGGGGCGGCAGGUAGCCUAGUGGUUAGAGCGUUGGG